GAUGAAGAACGUAGCGAAAUGCGAUACGUAAUGUGAAUUGCAAAUUCAGCGAAUCAUCGAGUCUUUGAACGCACAUUGCGCCCCCUGGUAUUCCGGGGGGCAUGCCUGUCCGAGCGUCAUUGCUGCCCUCAAGCACGGCUUGUGUGUUGGGCCCCGUCCUCCGAUCCCGGGGGACGGGCCCGAAAGGCAGCGGCGGCACCGCGUCCGGUCCUCGAGCGUAUGGGGCUUUGUCACCCGCUCUGUAGGCCCGGCCGGCGCUUGCCGAUCAACCCAAAUUUUUAUCCAGGUUGACCUUGGAUCAGGUAGGGAUACCCGCUGAACUUAAGCAUAUCAAUAAGCGGAGGA
rnacentral:misc_RNA from 1 species